rnacentral:rRNA from 1 species
GAUGAACGCUGGCGGCGUGCCUAAUACAUGCAAGUCGAGCGAACAGAUGAGGAGCUUGCUCCUCUGACGUUAGCGGCGGACGGGUGAGUAACACGUGGAUAACCUACCUAUAAGACUGGGAUAACUUCGGGAAACCGGAGCUAAUACCGGAUAAUAUAUUGAACCGCAUGGUUCAAUAGUGAAAGACGGUUUUGCUGUCACUUAUAGAUGGAUCCGCGCCGCAUUAGCUAGUUGGUAAGGUAACGGCUUACCAAGGCAACGAUGCGUAGCCGACCUGAGAGGGUGAUCGGCCACACUGGAACUGAGACACGGUCCAGACUCCUACGGGAGGCAGCAGUAGGGAAUCUUCCGCAAUGGGCGAAAGCUUGACGGAGCAACGCCGCGUGAGUGAUGAAGGUCUUCGGAUCGUAAAACUCUGUUAUUAGGGAAGAACAAAUGUGUAAGUAACUAUGCACGUCUCGACGGUACCUAAUCAGAAAGCCACGGCUAACUACGUG